CGCGUUCGCGCUAACUAUGAAUGUAACGAUGAACGACAUUCGCGACAAAUAUUUCGCUAAAAAUGCUUCGUGAUAAAAGUUUUGUUGUUUAAUACAGAAUUAAUUUAUAAAUUAUGGCAUAUGAAAAUGAUAUUUCUUCUCAUUAUUCAAAUUUAAAUGAACAGAAUAUUAAACAAAGAAAGGAUAGCAAAAUAUUGUUUUUAAGAAAUUUUAAUAAUUAUUUAAAACAAGAAUUAAUAAAUAAAUAUGUUAACAUAUUGCACCAGAAUGGUGAACUUAAGGUGCUUGAUUUGUGUUGUGGGAAAGGUGGUGAUAUUAAUAAAUGGCAUUAUGUUAACCCUGAAAUAGUUGUAUUUGUGGAUAUUGCCAAACAAAGUAUUGAACAAUGCGAGAAACGAUAUGAUGCUUAUUUAAAAAAACAACAAAAUAAAAAAACAUAUAAAGCAUAUUUUAUCCAUGCUGAUUGCUGUGAAGUUAAUCUGAAAGAGAAAUUUUUCCAGCAAGGUAUAGAUGUUAAUAUUCAAUUCAAUAUAGUUAGCUGUCAAUUUGCGUUACAUUAUGCUUUCCAAUCGCUCCCUCGUUUAAAACAGAUGCUAUUGAAUGCUACACAAAAUUUAUCUGACUAUGGAUUUUUUCUUGGUUCCAUGACAGAUGCCUUCAAAUUGAUGAAGUUGCUCAAAGAGUUACCAGUUCAAAAUGUUGCUAUUAAUAGCCCAAAAUCUUGUUAUCAAUUCAAAAAUGACAUAUGCUGCAUUACGUUCGAUCACCCAACUUUCGCUCAAUACAAAAAUUGCCAUUCCAACAUCAAUAAUUUUGAUCAAACAUCUUUAAAUUCCAUCAAUAACCCUUCCCCCAAAAUAGCUAAUAAUGGAGACAAGAAAUCCUUUCAAGAAGUAAUCGUUCCUCCACUGGUUGGGGCUAAUCUCUCUUUUUAUUUGGAUGAGAGAGUUGAUUGUACCGAAUUUCUGGCUUACUUCCCAUUUUUAAAAAGAUUGCUUCAGGACAAAUUUAGCAUGAUGUGUGUCUUGAGCUAUAAUUUUCACGAAUUUUACUUCAAACACCAAAUCAACUUCGAUUUGGCAGAAAGAAUGAAGAUAUACCAAGAAUUCAACAUAUAUGAUACGAGUGAGGAUGAUGAAUUUAGACAUGUUAGACUCCUUUUAGAGAAAAUAGCCAAAAGGAAUGACGAAAUACCUCAUUUACCCCAUCACUCGUGGUAUAUAAAGAGAGAAAAUGAAUGUAAUUAAGAAUAUAGGUUAUAUAUUAUAUAUCGCAUAAUUUGCAACAUAGCCUUAAUGAGAUUUGUUUUAGUGGGUUAAUUUUUAUAUAAUAUAUAUUUUAAGGGAAUAUAAUCAUUUUCAGAGACUAACUCAUGCUUGCUCUUCACAGGGCGAAUACAUAAAACAAGCAUCCCCCCUAUUACUUAUGAUCCCUGGUUCUAAAAACUAAUAAGACACGGUUUGAGUGAGCUAAACCAGGUCGGGCCUCUUAGGUUUCUUAUAACAAAACAAAAAUAAGUCAUAUCACCUGAAAUCAUUUUUAUUAUAAAAUUAUUUUAGCACACGAUAUCUAAAUCAGAAUGGCAAGUUAUCGGAUGCUACAUGAUGUUUGCAUUCAGAAAAAUUCCACCUAAACCAUUAAAGAAAAAACCUAUUGUAUGAAAAGCUAGUGAAUUAUUAUAUCAUAAAUAUUUUUUAAUUAUACAUCGACUCGAUAAUAAUAAAUAAA